GUAAUCAAUUUAAGGUGGGGUCAUACUUAAUUAGGGUAGGCUCUUAUAGAAGAGAAGAGCAGGCGCAUGGGGGAACGCCAUGUGAUGCCAGAAGCAGAGAGAGGGGCGAUGAAGCUGUGAGCCAAAGAAUGUCAAGGGCUGAUGCCCACCAGCAGAAGUUGGCAAAAGGCAAAGAAUGAUUCCACUCAGUGUCUCAAAGUUUAGUCCUCAGGUGGCAAAAUACCAGAAUUGGACUGUGACUGAACUAUAACAGGAAGAAGGAACCGCCAGAGAUAGUCCAAUGAAAGUCUUUGGAUUCUUCUUUUGAGGAAAAGAAAUUCCCAGGGACUUAAAUAUGGCCAUGAAUUGUGACGUGCAGAAGGAGGGUUUAUAACAUUCAAGUUUUCCAAACUUAUAUUGGCCCUGAGCUAACAUCUGUGCCCAUCUUCCUCUAUAUUGUAUGUGAGACGUCCCCACAGCAUGGCUUGAUGAGUGGUGUAGGUCUGUGCCUGUGAUCCGGACCCGUGAACCUGGGCCACUGAAGUGGAGCAUGCUGAACUCAGCCACUACACAACCAGCAGGACGGCCCUGUCUUUCUUUCUUUUUUGACUACUUGAUCUGUCAAAAGUUAAGUUCUCCCACAGCUGUUUGUUCCUGUCAAUUUCUUCUUUUAACAGUUUGAACUUAAUUAAUAUUUGACAGUAUGUGAUUUAGUACUUAAAGAUUUUUGACUGUUAUAUCUUUGUUAUGGGCUAUAUCUUUUUAUCAGUAUUAAAAAAAACCCAGUUUUGCUUUUAAUUAUCAUUUAGUUUACCUGAUAAUUGGUGUUAACUUUUUUGAGGUUAUUUUCUUGACCUCCAACUCAGAAGAAACCACGCAAAUGACACCGUGUUCAGGUGAAGAUGAGUUUGGUAGUUACUGCAGUAAGGAGAAAUUCACCUAUGGGUGGAUGUGUAAGGAGUUCUGUGGUUUGGUUUAAAGUGGUCUUCAAUGCGGGAAUCUGAGUAGAUUGUGCAAAGCUUUUGAUGUUAUAGUUUAGGAUUGGUGGACGUGGCCAGAUAAGAGUUUUGAAGCCUUGAUGAGUCAAACAGCUGUUUGAUAACAGAGUUUGCCCAUUGAAGAAAUCUCUUUUCCCGAGAAGAAGGCUGUUCACUCUAAUGCCCUUAGAAGGAGGCAAGUUGAACAGCCUAUUGUUUGGAUAAAUGGAUUUUACGGAGUUCAUGAAACAAAGAGUAAUGUUUUUUAAAACUUUAUAUUCCUGGGCAAGAAUUUACUGGAAUAGUAAAAUCAUUUUAACUUAGGACAGUCAAUUCUUGAUCCUAUUAAAUUUGUGGUUACAGACAGUUUGUUCUCAAUUUGAUAAAUCUUUGCCCAUCUUUUUAAAACAUUUUAAUGCCAUGUUAUUUUAGGUAUGUCUCUUGGAAGCAGCAUGUAUUUAGAUUAUGUCUUUUAACUCAAUUUGAGAAUCUUAGUAUUGUAGUGGAGAAAUAUAAGCUUUUUGUCCUACGUUCAAAUAUUUUAUCUUAAAUCCUUCAUCUGUCUUUUGUAUUUUCUUAGUCUUAUUAAAUGUGGCUGUUUCCUUUAGUUUUACCUUCUCUAGUAAUUGAAAGCUGUAGUCCUCAUCAAUGUUAGUAUAAUAUGAAACUUGCCAUUUUUAACCAAAUACAUGCUACCUUUCAUGUCUCUUCUUUCAGUGAUUAUUUUUGAGAUUUUGUGUUCAACUUUUUACUCCAACAGUUGUUUAAAUUUGUCUUUGUUUAACUAUUCUCAAAGUGUACCAUUUGUGUCUUUAUAUCCUAACUUUCUCAUUCUUGAACUCUUAAUUUUGAUAUCUUUAGGAAAAUAUCAUGAAGGGCACAGAGGGGUUAUAUUUUUGAAUUCUUGUAUAUCUGAGAGUCUUCCCGUUGUUUUAAAAAAUGAAUGACAUUUGGCCAGAACUAAUCAUUAGGUCACAAUUCUUUCUCUGAAAAUUUUCUGUUCAUUAUUUUACUAUUAAGUAAUUUUAGAAAUGUCAGAGUCUACCUGGCUUUUAUUCCUUAGAGGUUAAUCUAUU
ensembl:lncRNA